CUUGCUUUCUCAUUUUUCCUAUCCACUUCAGAUAUCCUUACUGCUGUCUUUGGGUUCUUUGAACAUUGCCUUUUUUCCUUUGCAGAUCACACCCAAAAACUUUUCUUAAAAAUUAUACGUAAAUCUAAAACUUUACAAAGUAAAUUUAAAAUUGAAAUUUUUAAAAUCCCGACUCUCCCUAAUUUCAGGAAGCAUGCAUUUAUCACACAUAACAAGACGUGAAAGCGGCAAGAGUUGCAGCCUAAACACUGAAGACCCCGCGAAGUGAAUCCAGCUGCCGCUCUGCAAGCAGCAACAACGCCUGCGAAGCCUUCUCAGCUACAUCUCAGGGCACUGGUCCAACCUCCCGCAAAAUCCCUCGUUUCCCUUCGCGUGCAGAACCACGGGCACGGUGAUGACGGUGACAAGCGCAGCAGCACCCAGCAGUCCCAGGAGAACCUUCCACGUUGUCUGCAAGCCGGGCAGAUCAAGUCCAAUUAGAGGGAAGCGUGUGGCCCCAGUUUCCGUAGGAGGGUCGGAGCUGCUCCAGAGGCAGCAGGAUUUGCAGGAAGGAAGCCUGUGCACAGAGAAUAAAUAACUUGGCCAAGCUAUUCAGCUAGGAAGUUGUAGAUCCUAAAUUAGGAGUUCAAGGUCUUAAUGGCUAUUCUAUGCGGCCUCUCAUCGUUCAGUCUUUUCAAGGGUUUUGGAGAAGAGUAAAAGAUCAGACAUUGCUUUUGAACUCAGUCAUGUUUUCCCCUUGCCCACUAGUUGCUUGUGAUACAUCAGUAUCCUCACUCACCCCCAACUCCAGAGGCUGAAACUGACUCUCCUCCUCCCUCUUCCAACUGCUGACGAAGGUGAGUCAAUGGUGUUACUGGACCUGUGAGCUGAUGCUGUGAAGAGAGGCCAUCUAACACGGACUACGGGGAAUGGUGCCACAGGGGCCUCAGUGCUGCCCUUUGCUCUCAGCAUUUUGCUCACUCAGCAUUGGUGGUAGCCACAUCAGCCUCGGUGAAGGAAGUCCAGAGAGUUGAGCCUGUGCUUCACCUCCAUGCCAGCACCAUGGCACUCACUGUACAUUCAGCAAGCUCCAAGGAAGCUAACAGGAGGCUGGCUGACAUCUACGGGACAGGUCAAUUUGUUCUCUGGAGGGCACUCCAUGAGACGCAAAUAUCUUCACACCCUGUGCCCAUUUCAAGAGACUCUUUCACAUGCCUCCCCCACCUUGACCUCUGUGUCACCAGUCUUUCAAUCUUGUUUUUUCCAAAUCCUUAAGGUAGCAGCUGGCCAACACAUUAGCCACCACUGAUGAGUCAGUGUAGAUCUUACAUCAGGCCAUCUCUUUUUCCUUGCAAAAUAGAAAAGCAGAUGUUCUGCCCAGAAUUCUCUUUGUUAGUAAGAUUUCCCCUUCUGCUGUGCUUCAGGACAUCCCUGGGAGGGACUCUGAUGCAGCAGCCAUCUACUUAUUGCUAGUGCCAGCUUACUUUGUGUAACGUUGACUCCUUUCCCUCAUCUGUUGCCUGGUUAUAGGAACCUCCUUGUGAAGCUAUAGGUGUGCACUGAGAGACAUUGAGGCAGUGGGAGAAGGCAUCAUAGAGUCUAAGUUUUCUGCUAGUCUGAGUUUCUUGUGUCUUGUGGACCUGGUGGGCUUAUCUCCUUUAUCAUGUAGAUACAAUUUUCACUUAAUAAUAGAAUGUUCCUGCAAAUGCCCAAUUUUAUCAUGUGGUAUGUUAGGCGACACUCAGUUCAUCAGGGUAGCUAGGUUGUGCAGUUACUUGGUGUUAUGGUGUUAUGGAUUGAAUUGUGUCUCCCCAGAAGAUAUAUUAGAAUCCUAACCUUCAGGACUUCAGAGUGUGACAUUAUUUGAAUAUAGGGUCUUUACAGAGUUAAUCAAUUUAAAAUGAAGUCACUAGGGUGGGCCCCAAUCCAAUAUGACUGAUAAUCUUAUAAAAAGGACAGAUUUGGAUACAGAGAGAGACAGAGUGAAGAUGAUGUGAAGAAACACAGGAAAACAUGGCAGCUACAAGCCAAGGAGAAGCUUGCAGUAUGUAUUCAUCUGUUCUCAU